rnacentral:lncRNA from 1 species
GGAUACUGCUUUUCUCUCUCAGUUACGGAUUUCUUGCCAGUGUGUGCGCUCUUCUGAAAGGGCAACUAUCAAUUUUGGAGCAGUCGAUGCGAUUGGCGACCGGGUCGUCCCGACACGUUCCUCGUGACGAUUACCAACCGGUGGUCGGCCGUUUUGGCCCGUUGCCAAUGUCGACGAGAGCAUCGAAGACAGCAACAGCUCAGAACGACCCCGAUCAACGGACAACGAACAGCAUCGAUUUUAGGAAAUGCAUUAGGCACCAUCAGAUGAUCCUUCGUGCUCUGAAGGAACUUAAGUGUCGGGAGGUGGGCUGCGCCGCAUUUUCAAUCGGAACACACGCAUCUAUAUCGAACAAAGACCUCGCUUUCAUAAUCAAACGUUCACAAUAUGAUGAAAAUUCCCCAGCUUUUUGACAGCCUCUUUUGACUUUCCUGUCGUUUUUCGGAUUUUGAUCAUCGCGUGGGAUAUACUUUCAGUAGCCAGGAGGAAGUUAAAAUAGGAGUAAGAAUCAACCAUUUCAUUCCGGAAGUGAUUUUUCCUUGGCAAUCCGGCUGAUCCACGUCAAAACCCCAUCUCUGUUGCCUUAAGAAUAGGACUGCUUUUUCAGUGCAUAGCAUGAAGGAGUCAACAAGAAGAGAACCUAUAUCACCAUAGCAAAUGCAAAAUAAAAAAAAAAUUCGUUGGGAAUAAAUUUCCGUAUUAUUUCGCUGCGCAAACCACGUUUCACGUAAAGUUUUGAAGCAGAAAUGGAUUACAUUUUGCAAUAAGGAACCAC